rnacentral:tRNA from 1 species
UCCGGGGUAGCUCAAUCGGCAGAGCGAGCGGCUGUUAACCGCUAGGUUGAGAGUUCGAGUCUCUCCCCCGGAGCCA